rnacentral:rRNA from 1 species
UUAAAUGGCCGCAGUAUUUUGACUGUGCAAAGGUAGCAUAAUCAUUAGUUUCUUAAUUAGAAGCUGGAAUGAAAGGUUGAACGAAAAAAUAACUGUCUCUUUAUAAAUUUAUUUGAAUUUUAUAUUUAAGUUAAAAAGCUUAAAUAAAUUUAAAAGACGAGAAGACCCUAUAGAGUUUUAUAUAGAUUUUUAUAGUAAUUUAUUUUUAAUUAUAAAAAUUUUAUUAUAAUUUAUAUUUAAUUGGGGUGAUUAAAAAAUUUAAUAAACUUUUUUUUUAUUAAACAUUUAUAUAUGAUUAAUUGAUCCAUUAUUAAUGAUUAAAAGAUUAAAUUACCUUAGGGAUAACAGCGUAAUUUCUUUUUAGAGUUCUAAUCGAUAAAGAAGUUUGCGACCUCGAUGUUGGAUUAAAAUAUAAUUUUGGUGUAGAAGCUAAAAUUUUUAGGUCUGUUCGACCUUUAAAAUUUUACAUGAUCUGAGUUUAAACCGGUGUAAGCCAGGUUGGUUUCUAUCUUUAAAUAGAUUAAAAUAUUUUAGUACGAAAGGACCAAAUAUUUAGAAUAUUUUUUAAAUAUUGAAUAAUAAUAA